rnacentral:rRNA from 1 species
UACGAAGGGGGCUAGCGUUGUUCGGAAUUACUGGGCGUAAAGCGCACGUAGGCGGAUUGUUAAGUGAGGGGUGAAAUCCCAGGGCUCAACCCUGGAACUGCCUCUCAUACUGGCAAUCUCGAGUUCGAGAGAGGUGAGUGGAAUUGCGAGUGUAGAGGUGAAAUUCGUAGAUAUUCGCAGGAACACCAGUGGCGAAGGCGGCUCACUGGCUCGAUACUGACGCUGAAGUGCGAAAGCGUGGGGAGCAAACAGG